rnacentral:rRNA from 1 species
UGGGGAAUAUUGCGCAAUGGGCGGAAGCCUGGCGCAGCGACGCCGCGUGGGGGAUGACGGCCUUCGGGUUGUAAACCUCUUUCAGCAGGGACGAAGCGCAAGUGACGGUACCUGCAGAAGAAGCACCGGCCAACUACGUGCCAGCAGCCGCGGUAAUACGUAGGGUGCAAGCGUUGUCCGGAAUUAUUGGGCGUAAAGAGCUCGUAGGCGGUUCGUCGCGUCGGCUGUGAAAACCUGAGGCUCAACCUCAGGCCUGCAGUCGAUACGGGCGGACUCGAGUUCGGCAGGGGAGACUGGAAUUCCUGGUGUAGCGGUGAAAUGCGCAGAUAUCAGGAGGAACACCGGUGGCGAAGGCGGGUCUCUGGGCCGAUACUGACGCUGAGGAGCGAAAGCGUGGGGAGCGAA